rnacentral:rRNA from 1 species
CUACGGGAUGCUCCAGUGGGGAAUCUUAGACAAUGGGGGAAACCCUGAUCUAGCCAUGCCGCGUGAGCGACGACGGCCCUAGGGUUGUAAAGCUCUUUCAGCAGGGAAGAUAAUGACGGUACCUGCAGAAGAAGUCCCGGCUAACUCCGUGCCAGCAGCCGCGGUAAUACGGAGGGGACUAGCGUUGUUCGGAAUUACUGGGCGUAAAGCGCGCGUAGGCGGAUUGUUAAGUCGGGGGUGAAAUCCCGGGGCUCAACCCCGGAACUGCCCUCGAUACUGGCAGUCUUGAGUUCGAGAGAGGUGAGUGGAAUUCCGAGUGUAGAGGUGAAAUUCGUAGAUAUUCGGAGGAACACCAGUGGCGAAGGCGGCUCACUGGCUCGAUACUGACGCUGAGGUGCGAAAGCGUGGGGAGCAAACAGGAUUAGAUACCCGCGUAGUC